ACUGAACGCUGGCGGAAUGCUUUACACAUGCAAGUCGAACGGCAGCACGGACUUCGGUCUGGUGGCGAGUGGCGAACGGGUGAGUAAUGUAUCGGAACGUGCCCAGUCGUGGGGGAUAACGUAGUGAAAAUUACGCUAAUACCGCAUACGAUCUAUGAAUGAAAGCGGGGGAUCGCAAGACCUCGCGCGAUUGGAGCGGCCGAUAUCAGAUUAGGUAGUUGGUGGGGUAAAGGCCCACCAAGCCAACGAUCUGUAGCUGGUCUGAGAGGACGACCAGCCACGCUGGAACUGAGACACGGUCCAGACUCCUACGGGAGGCAGCAGUGGGGAAUUUUGGACAAUGGGCGAAAGCCUGAUCCAGCCAUUCCGCGUGCAGGAUGAAGGCCCUCGGGUUGUAAACUGCUUUUGUACAGAACGAAAAGGUUUCUACUAAUACUAGGAGCUCAUGACGGUACUGUAAGAAUAAGCACCGGCUAACUACGUGCCAGCCGCCGCGGUAA
rnacentral:rRNA from 1 species